GACGGACCACCCAAACGUUAUUCGGAAUCACUGGGCUUAAAGGGUGCGUAGGCGGUGUAGUAAGUCGGGUGUGAAAUCCCCCAGCUUAACUGAGGAAUUGCGCCCGAAACUGCUGCGCUCGAGGGAGACAGAGGUGAGCGGAACUGAUGGUGGAGCGGUGAAAUGCGUUGAUAUCAUCAGGAACACCGGUGGGCGAAAGCGGCGUCACUGGGUCUCUUCUGA
rnacentral:rRNA from 1 species